rnacentral:rRNA from 1 species
ACGGGUGAGUAACACGUAUCCAACCUGCCGUCUACUCUUGGACAGCCUUCUGAAAGGAAGAUUAAUACAAGAUGGCAUCAUGAGUCCGCAUGUUCACAUGAUUAAAGGUAUUCCGGUAGACGAUGGGGAUGCGUUCCAUUAGAUAGUAGGCGGGGUAACGGCCCACCUAGUCUUCGAUGGAUAGGGGUUCUGAGAGGAAGGUCCCCCACAUUGGAACUGAGACACGGUCCAAACUCCUACGGGAGGCAGCAUG